rnacentral:rRNA from 1 species
UUGAACGCUGGCGGCAUGCCUUACACAUGCAAGUCGAACGGCAGCACGGGAGCAAUCCUGGUGGCGAGUGGCGAACGGGUGAGUAAUAUAUCGGAACGUGCCCGGUCUGGGGGAUAACGUAGCGAAAGCUACGCUAAUACCGCAUACGAUCUACGGAUGAAAGCGGGGGACUCGCAAGAGCCUCGCGCGAUUGGAGCGGCCGAUAUCAGAUUAGGUAGUUGGUGAGGUAAAGGCUCACCAAGCCGACGAUCUGUAGCUGGUCUGAGAGGACGACCAGCCACACUGGGACUGAGACACGGCCCAGACUCCUACGGGAGGCAGCAGUGGGGAAUUUUGGACAAUGGGCGCAAGCCUGAUCCAGCAAUGCCGCGUGCAGGAUGAAGGCCUUCGGGUUGUAAACUGCUUUUGUACGGAACGAAACGGUGAGCUCUAAUACAGUUUGCUAAUGACGGUACCGUAAGAAUAAGCACCGGCUAACUACGUG